GUCUUCAUGCUAGCACACUCUACAGGCUACACUGCUAGUCAACAAAACCAGUAGACCCAUUAAACAUAAAAAAAUAUAGCUGGUUUUUACAUGUUACAACAAAAGACUUUAUUCUCUUGUUAUCACUUUAGUUUUGCAUUUCUUGACAGCCCUUUGUUGAGUUUCAAUGAUUCAACAAGUUUCUUCUGGUCUGCCUCAACACUCUCUGUCAAGGAAUUGCUAAUGUUAGAGACUCAUCAACAAAAAGGUUCAAACAGUCUUUUGUAGAUUUUGGGAGUCCGGAUAAGAAUUUUGCAAGUUUGGAUUUUGGAUGUUGCUUUCCAAUUGUGAUCUUGGGUUUUGCUCAAAAUGUUUGAUUCUGUAGGGUCAAACAAUCGUUUGUAAAUCUUGGGAGUGCUAUCAAGAACUUUGCAGUUUAGAAUUUUUGAUGUUGUUUUGCAAUUAGUGAUCUUGGGUUUUGGUCAAAAAAUGUUUACUUUUGUAAGUUCGGACAGUCUUUUGUGAAUACUGGUGAUGUAGAAUUGCAAUACCUGAAUCUUGAUGCUUUUGGGUAUUUUACUGAUUAAUGGCAACAUCAACAUCUCCAAAUCCUCAACCAUCUGCUGUUCCACCAGUGUCUACCACUUCUCCGCAACCUCUUAAAUUGUCUCCACCAGCCCCUUCAUUUCCCUUGCCUGAUCCCAGUGCAACUUCCCCAGCUGCAACUCCAAACAAUCCACCUCAAGCCCCUACUUCCGUAAAUUCGACAGCUCUUCCACCAGGCUCACUACCAUCUCCCCCUCCAGAACAAUCUGUAGCUGCAACACCACCACCACAAUCUAGAGCUUCACCACCACCGAAACCAUCAAAACCUGUACCACCACCAGAGCAAUCUAUAACAUCACCACCACCAGAACAGCCUAUAGCUACACCACCACCGGAACAGCCUAUAGCUACACCACCACCGGAACAGCCUAUAGCUACACCACCACCGGAACAGCCUAUAGCUACACCACCACCGGAACAGCCUAUAGCUACACCACCACCAGAACAGCCUAUAGCUACACCACCACCAGAACAGCCUUUAACUUCACCACCACCAGAACAAACUAUAACUUCACCACCAGCACCACCACAAAACUCUGUAACUUCAGCCCCUCCACCUCAUUUAGGUAAUGUCCCACCCCCAUCAGAAAUUUCACCACCACCAUUACCUAAUUCUGAAACACCUCCUAGAUCAACUUCCCCGACUACUUCCCCACUACCUCCAUCAGUCCCUCUUGUUGCUUCACCCCCAAGCCCUCCAUCACCUUUACCGGUUUCACCAAGCAAACCAACACCUUCAGUAAAAUCGCCAUCACCAGAACCUCCACCAAGUCCAUCACAAAAACCUGUCAAACAUUCAAAUAAUUCACAAAGCCCACCUUCCCUGCCUCCAGAAAAUUCACCACCAGCGCAAACUAAACGUCCUAAAAUUUCAAGUCCUUCGCCCCCACCUCCUGUUAAAAGCCCUCAUUCAGCACCUCCGGAUUCUUCAGUGUCCUCAAAUAUUUCUCUCAAAGUAUCUCCUCCGCCAUCCCCAAAAUAUAAUCUUAAUGUAUCUCCUCCGCCAUCAAUCAAUCCGGUUACCAAUACAUCAGCAAAGUUGAAGUCCACAGAAAGUGCCGGCAUUGGCACUGGCGGUACAGUAGCCAUUGUUUUGGUGUUAGGUCUCAUACUGAUUAGCCUGAUUGCAGCAGCUGUUUUUUGUAUAAGAAAGAGGAAGAGAAAUUUCUCUCUCAUGAAGGGCGAUCACAUUAUACCAACCUCAUUCAGCUGUUCGCCAAAGUCAGAUUCCGCCUUAUUAAAGGUGCCAACAAAUGAAACUCACAGUGGAAGUUAUAUGGGCAAUGAGGUCGUGUAUUCACCAACAGAGUCUAGCAGACUGGGAAAUUCAAGGCCUUGGUUUACUUAUGCAGAAAUUGUGGAUGCUACCAAUGGGUUUUCACCACACAAUCUACUAGGUGAAGGUGGAUUUGGGUGUGUCUACAAAGGAUACCUAGUGGAUGGAAGGGAGAUAGCAGUGAAGCAGUUAAAUGUUGGGGGAGGACAAGGUGAACGAGAAUUUAAAGCUGAAGUUGAAAUUAUAAGUCGCGUACAUCACCGCCAUCUGGUUUCACUAGUUGGUUACUGCAUUUCCGAAAAUCAAAGGCUGCUCGUCUAUGAUUAUGUCCCUAACAAUAACCUUUACUUUCACCUUCAAGAGGAAGGUAGGCCAGUAAUGGAAUGGACAAAACGAGUAAAGGUGGCUGCUGGUGCAGCUCGUGGAAUCGCCUAUCUCCAUGAAGAUUGCCAUCCUCGCAUUAUACAUCGAGAUAUUAAAUCAUCAAAUAUUCUUUUAGAUAACAGUUUUGAAGCACAGGUGUCUGAUUUUGGGCUUGCUAAGCUAGCUUGGGAUGUAACACAUGUAACAACACGUGUUAUUGGGACCUUUGGCUACAUGGCACCUGAAUAUGCUGCAAGUGGAAUGUUGACUGAGAAAUCAGAUGUCUACUCUUUUGGUGUUGUGCUUCUGGAGCUCAUUACGGGACGCAAGCCUGUAGAUGCAACUCAACCCUCAGGAAACGAGAGUUUAGUUGAAUGGGCUCGGCCUUUACUUAGUGCUGCACUUGACAACGGGGAUUUAAGAGGUUUAGCUGACCCAGGACUUGGAAAUGACUAUGUUGACCAUGAAAUGUUUAAAUUAGUAGAAGUUGCUGCAGCAUGCGUUCGACAUGCAGCUGCAAAGAGACCACGAAUGGGGCAGGUCGUGCGAGAGUUUGAUAGUAUGGCUGCUUCAGAUCUGAGCAAUGGGAUGAAAGUUGGUGAAAGUGAAAUAUUUAACUCCGGAUUUAAAUCUGCUGAAAUUAGAUUUUUCCAGAGAAUGCAAGUUUCUAGUAAAGAUCACAGUACAGAUUCUUUUAGUAGUAGCUGGAAUUUUUCGUAGGACAGAGUACAUAUGACCUAGCUCAAUUAUAUUCCUGAAAGGGCAUAGACUGAGUUAUUUUGCAUUUAAGCUCAGAAGAAAACUCAGCUGAGAGUAGUCCGAAGUUGAAUGCAUGAUCUCAACAGGAGCCGAGCUAGCUGGUUGCUUAUGAAAAGGAAACAAGCAAAGGGCAGAUAGAGACUUUAAUACGCAUGGUAUCUUUCUUGGAAAGUCAGAGCUGCAAGACAUCAUAAAAAGAUCUCAAGGUAUCUUUAUAAGGUUAACUGCAAGCCAUAGACAAUGGUGACAGCUGAUGUUUUCUUGUACUCUACUCUUCUUUCAUUAGUUAAAUGUCCUGGGAUGUUGGCUUUGGGAUUUAUAAUAACACACACGCAGAUUUGGUUAGUUUAGAUUUUAGAAGCUUGACAAGUUUCUAACUUGCAUUGCUUCGCGCUUGCUAAAAUCCAGGAAUCCAUUUCUCCGCAGGAUAUGACAUGUUUUCUGUAUUUGCCUUUGUCAAGACGACGUUAAACAAGCCAUGGAAGACUUGAACAUGAUAGCUGCAGACUGUAUUGUCAUAUCCUGUUGCUGCCAGUGCUUGGUUUUACAGAUUGUCGUGUUCAUCUUGCUCUAACUUCCUUAUAAGCUAAUCCGAAAGGCCAAACAGUACGUCAAGAAGCUGAGGAACAGUAAGAAAGAAGCAAACACGAUCACAAGACAGUUGAGUGGAUUCAGCAUCGACGAGGUCCUCAGAAGCCACUCAGGGUCGUUUAGGAUUAAAUUCGAAAGCAUUUUGUCAGAGGAAUGUUGUGGUAACUGCAUGGACGAAAUCGAGAAGGCCUUGGAGGACAUGUCUGGAAAUGGUGAGUUUGCAUUCGGAAGCUUUUGGAAGGGGGACAACUUGGAAGAGAGCUUCCCAGCUUUUGUUGUACAAAUCUUCAACUCCCUAAAUUGCAAUACAACAUGAUUACAUAUAAACUUAGCACUAGCAUUCUAGCAACUUCAUAUUUUGCUCA